rnacentral:rRNA from 1 species
CCCGCUGAACUUAAGCAUAUCAAUAAGCGGAGGAAAAGAAACUAACAAGGAUUCCCCUAGUAACUGCGAGUGAAGCGGGAAGAGCUCAAAUUUGAAAUCUGGCGUGCCUCUGGUCGUCCGAGUUGUAGUCUGGAGAAGCGUUUUCUGUGUUGGACCGUGUAUAAGUCUCUUGGAACAGGGCGUCAUAGAGGGUGAGAAUCCCGUCUUUGACACGAACUACCAAUGCUUUGUGAUACGCUCUCAAAGAGUCGAGUUGUUUGGGAAUGCAGCUCAAAAUGGGUGGUAAAUUCCAUCUAAAGCUAAAUAUAGGCGAGAGACCGAUAGCGAACAAGUACCGUGAGGGAAAGAUGAAAAGCACUUUGGAAAGAGAGUUAAACAGUACGUGAAAUUGCUGAAAGGGAAACGCUUGAAGUCAGUCGUGUCUGCCAGGACUCAGCCUUGCUUCUGCUUGGUGUACUUUCUGGUUGGAUGGGCCAACAUCAAUUUUGAUCGUUGGAGAAAGGCUUUGGGAAUGUGGCACCUUCGGGUGUGUUAUAGCCCUUUGUCGUAUACAACGGUUGGGAUUGAGGAACUCAGCACGCCGCAAGGCCGGGUUUCGACCACGUUCGUGCUUAGGAUGCUGGCAUAAUGGCUUUAAGCGACCCGUCUUGAAACACGG